rnacentral:rRNA from 1 species
UACGUAGGGGGCAAGCGUUGUCCGGAAUCAUUGGGCGUAAAGAGCGUGUAGGCGGCCCGGUAAGUCCGCUGUGAAAGUCCAGGGCUCAACCCUGGGAUGCCGGUGGAUACUGUCGGGCUCGAGUCCGGAAGAGGAGUGUGGAAUUCCUGGUGUAGCGGUGAAAUGCGCAGAUAUCAGGAGGAACACCGGUGGCGAAGGCGGGUCUCUGGGCCGAUAUUGACGCUGAGGAGCGAAAGCGUGGGGAGCAAACAGG